CAGGCCUAUGCUCGAAUACAUUAGCAUGGAAUAAUAGAAUAGGACGUGUGGUUCUAUUUUGUUGGUUUCUAGGACCGCCGUAAUGAUUAAUAGGGAUAGUCGGGGGCAUCAGUAUUCAAUUGUCAGAGGUGAAAUUCUUGGAUUUAUUGAAGACUAACUACUGCGAAAGCAUUUGCCAAGGAUGUUUUCAUUAAUCAGUGAACGAAAGUUAGGGGAUCGAAGACGAUCAGAUACCGUCGUAGUCUUAACCAUAAACUAUGCCGACUAGGGAUCGGGCGAUGUUAUCUUUUUGACUCGCUCGGCACCUUACGAGAAAUCAAAGUUUUUGGGUUCUGGGGGGAGUAUGGUCGCAAGGCUGAAACUUAAAGAAAUUGACGGAAGGGCACCACCAGGAGUGGAGCCUGCGGCUUAAUUUGACUCAACACGGGGAAACUCACCAGGUCCAGACACAAUAAGGAUUGACAGAUUGAGAGCUCUUUCUUGAUUUUGUGGGUGGUGGUGCAUGGCCGUUCUUAGUUGGUGGAGUGAUUUGUCUGCUUAAUUGCGAUAAC
rnacentral:rRNA from 1 species